rnacentral:lncRNA from 1 species
GGAACCCGGACCUACAUGGAGGCGCCUCCCCAGGAUGGACAUGGCACCCACAUUGGCACCCUCUGGUCUUGUCCCCACAGGACACCCCUCUGUCAUGGUGAUCAAGACGGCUAGGGGGCAGGGAAGGCGAGAAGAGGGAGGAGACACUGGUGUGACUCAUAGCAAAGUAAGAGCUUCUUCCCUCCUCUCUGCACCCCAAAUACGGAGCACCGGCUGCGUUCCAGGCACUGUGCUAGACACUUCACAUGCGGUGAACCUGUGAGGCAGAUCCAUGACUGGCAACAUUGUACAGAGGGGAAAACUGAGGCUCAAAGAAGGCAAGUCACUAGCCCAGCUACUGUCACACAGCCAGGCCAGCAGAGCGGCAAUGUCCACUCACACAACCAUGCACAUGGCCACUGUGUCAGCUGCAUGCCUUCCCCACUCCCCAGCUGGCUGAAAACUGGUGGAGCUGAGAUCUGAACCCACAUUUAUCCAUGUUCU